rnacentral:misc_RNA from 1 species
UUUCCGUAGGUGAACCUGCGGAAGGAUCAUACCGAGUGAGGGCCCUCUGGGUCCAACCUCCCACCCGUGUUUAUUUACCUUGUUGCUUCGGCGAGCCUGCCUUUUGGCUGCCGGGGGACGUCAGUCCCCGGGUCCGUGCUCGCCGGAGACACCUUAGAACUCAGUCUGAAGAUUGUAGUCUGAGAUUAAAUAUAAAUUAUUUAAAACUUUCAACAACGGAUCUCUUGGUUCCG